GUUCUUUGAGGUGGACAAUUUCGUGGCAUCCACACGCCGAUGGUUAGACAGGGGCAACCCGAGAGAUGCAGGGGUACGCCACGCCUGCCAAAGAAU
rfam:Anaerovibrio lipolyticus strain 5S contig00098, whole genome shotgun sequence.